rnacentral:rRNA from 1 species
CCUACGGGGGGCAGCAGUGGGGAAUAUUGCGCAAUGGGCGCAAGCCUGACGCAGCGACGCCGCGUGCGGGAUGAAGGUCUUCGGAUCGUAAACCUCUGUCAGCAGGGAAGAACGGUCACUGUGCUAAUCAGCAGUGAAUUGACGGUACCUGCAAAGGAAGCACCGGCUAACUCCGUGCCAGCAGCCGCGGUAAUACGGAGGGUGCGAGCGUUAAUCGGAAUUACUGGGCGUAAGGCGCUCGUAGGCGGUAUGUCAAGUCAAGGGUGAAAUCCCCGCGCUCAACGUGGGAACUGCCUUUGAAACUGGCGAACUAGAGUGUAGUAGAGGAUGGUGGAAUUCCAGGUGUAGGGGUGAAAUCCGUAGAUAUCUGGAGGAACAACAGUGGCGAAGGCGACUAUCUGGCACAUAACUGACGCUGAGGAGCGAAAGCGUGGGUAGCAAACAGGAUUAGAUACCCCAGUAGUC